UUUAACGAUUACUUUGGCACUUGGUGCUGAACGUACUCGUAGUGAGUUCAUGCCUCUUUUGACAGAGAAAAUUUAUGAUAGAGAUGAAGUUUUAUUGGCAGUCACCACUUGUAGUUGGACCUGAUCAUGUCUAUUGUUUAUUGAUAGUAUUAGGUACAGUUAUCAGAAGCUCAAAAUGAAAGCAAGUUGUGAAAAAAAAAAAUAUUUUGAUCUUCUCAACUCUCAAGCAUAUCCUCUUACAGAAGAAACUGAUCGAAAGCUAGUAUAUCUUUUUGAACAAUUACCUUUAGAGGUUAACAAAUCAAACAAUGUAUCAUCUAAUAGAAAAAGCGGAAAUGAAGUAUCAGUUUCCAGUUGUGCAGAAGUUGAAGCAGGUCAUGCUGUGCUUGAUAAUAAUAAUGACGAUAAAGCAAUUGUAAGAGUUAUUGUCAAAAUCUUUUUAAAAUGC
rnacentral:misc_RNA from 1 species